GGUUAAAUCUGUUCUUCUACCUCCUCCUGACCAGGUCUUUGGUUCUAUGGAGGUUAAAUCUGUUCUUCUACCACCUCCUGACCAGGUCUUUGGUUCUAUGGAGGUUAAAUCUGUUCUUCUACCUCCUCCUGACCAGGUCUUUGGUUCUAUGGAGGUUAAAUCUGUUCUUCUACCUCCUCUUGACCAGGUCUUGGGUUCCGUCCAGGGAACACCCGGUGUUCCUCAGCUGCUCAGCAGGUCUUCCUUCGUUGCAGCUUUGUGGAUCUGAGCGUCCAUACUUAGCCGUCAGCACAGAAAUCACUCCACU